rnacentral:lncRNA from 1 species
GUUCCUCCCCAAUUUCCUGUGGGUCUCCCCACAGCCCCCCUCCCACCUGCCGCAUUCUCUUUUCAGACACAGGACGGAUGCCCAGAACCCUCCGUCUCAGAGAUGCUGCAACUGCUGCUGCCCCCACUGUGGGCAGGUAAUAUAUUGGCCUGCCCUAAAAUUCAAAGUGCACAGCAGAGUCUGUCCGCAGAUGCCCAGUCCCCUCCCAGGAAGUGACCAAUGUCCACAGGCUGCUCUGAGCCUUUUGGGUGGCUGUUAGUACAUUCACAAUGAUGUCCAACCAUCACAACUGUCUACUUCCAUCCAUCCAACAUCUUCAUCACCCCAAAGAGAAACCCUGUGCCAUGAAGCAGUCACUCUCCACGCUCCCCUCCCCCAGCCCCUGCAACCGCUACUCUACUUUCUGUUUCUAUGCAUUUGCCUAUUCUGGACGUUUCAUAUAAAUGGAAUUUUACAAAAUGUGGCCUUUCGUGUCUGGUUUCUUUCACUUCACAAAAUGUUUUCAAGGUUGACCCACAUAGAAUGUAUCAGUGAUUUUUUUCUUUUUUGUUUGAGUAAUAUCACAUUGUG